rnacentral:rRNA from 1 species
AUUGAACGCUGGCGGCAGGCCUAACACAUGAAAGUCGAACGAGUGGCGGACGGGUGAGUAAUGUCUGGGAAACUGCCUGAUGGAGGGGGAUAACUACAGGAAACGGUAGCUACUACCGCAUACCAUCAGAUGUGCCCAGAUGGGAUUAGCUUGUUGGUGGGGUAACGGCUCACCAAGGCGACGAUCCCUAGCUGGUCUGAGAGGAUGACCAGCCAACCGGGAACUGAAACACGGUCCGGACCCCUAAGGGAGGCAGCAGUGGGGAAUAUAGCACAAUGGGCGCAAGCCUGAUGCAGCCAUGCCGCGUGUAUGAAGAAGGCCUUCGGGUUGUAAAGUACUGUCAGCGGGGAGGCGUUACCCGCAGAAGAAGCACCGGCUAACUCCGUGCCAGCAGCCGCGGUAAUAC